rnacentral:rRNA from 1 species
CCUACGGGAGGCUGCAGUGAGGAAUAUUGGUCAAUGGCCGUAAGGCUGAACCAGCCACGUCGCGUGAAGGAAGAAGGAUCUAUGGUUUGUAAACUUCUUUUAUAGGGGAAUAAAGGUAUCCACGUGUGGAUAUUUGCAUGUACCCUAUGAAUAAGCAUCGGCUAACUCCGUGCCAGCAGCCGCGGUAAUACGGAGGAUGCGAGCGUUAUCCGGAUUUAUUGGGUUUAAAGGGUGCGUAGGUUGUUUUUUAAGUCAGCGGUGAAAGUUUGUGGCUCAACCAUAAAAUUGCCGUUGAUACUGGAAGACUUGAGUGUAGUUGAGGUAGGCGGAAUGCGUGGUGUAGCGGUGAAAUGCAUAGAUAUCACGCAGAACACCGAUUGCGAAGGCAGCUUACUAAGCUAUAACUGACACUGAGGCACGAAAGCGUGGGGAGCAAACAGGAUUAGAUACCCGAGUAGUC